rnacentral:rRNA from 1 species
CGCGGCCUAUCAGCUUGUUGGUGGGGUAGUGGCUUACCAAGGCUUUGACGGGUAGCCGGCCUGAGAGGGUGACCGGCCACAUUGGGACUGAGAUACGGCCCAGACUCCUACGGGAGGCAGCAGUGGGGAAUAUUGCACAAUGGGCGGAAGCCUGAUGCAGCAACGCCGCGUGCGGGAUGACGGCCUUCGGGUUGUAAACCGCUUUCGCCUGUGACGAAGCGUGAGUGACGGUAAUGGGUAAAGAAGCACCGGCUAACUACGUGCCAGCAGCCGCAGUGAUACGUAGGGUGCGAGCGUUGUCCGGAUUUAUUGGGCGUAAAGGGCUCGUAGGUGGUUGAUCGCGUCGGAAGUGUAAUCUUGGGGCUUAACCCUGAGCGUGCUUUCGAUACGGGUUGACUUGAGGAAGGUAGGGGAGAAUGGAAUUCCUGGUGGAGCGGUGGAAUGCGCAGAUAUCAGGAGGAACACCAGUGGCGAAGGCGGUUCUCUGGGCCUUUCCUGACGCUGAGGAGCGAAAGCGUGGGGAGCGAACAGGCUUAGAUACCCUGGUAGUCCACGCUGUAAACGGUGGGUACUAGGUGUGGGUCCAUUCCACGGGUUCCGUGCCGUAGCUAACGCUUUAAGUACCCCGCCUGGGGAGUACGG